rnacentral:rRNA from 1 species
AACUUACAGGUCUUGACAUACUAUGCAAAUCUAAGAGAUUAGACGUUCCCUUCGGGGACAUGGAUACAGGUGGUGCAUGGUUGUCGUCAGCUCGUGUCGUGAGAUGUUGGGUUAAGUCCCGCAACGAGCGCAACCCUUAUUAUCAGUUGCCAGCAUUAAGUUGGGCACUCUGGUGAGACUGCCGGUGACAAACCGGAGGAAGGUGGGGAUGACGUCAAAUCAUCAUGCCCCUUAUGACCUGGGCUACACACGUGCUACAAUGG